GUGUGUGUAUAUACACACACACACACACACACACACACACAUAUGUGUGUGUGUGUGUGUGUGUGUGUGUGUGUGUAUAUAUAUAUAUAU